rnacentral:rRNA from 1 species
CAGUAGCCGCGGGAAAACGGAGGGUGCAAGCAUUAAUCGGAAUUACUGGGCGUAAAGCGCACGCAGGCGGUUUGUUAAGUCAGAUGUGAAAUCCCCGAGCUUAACUUGGGAACUGCAUUUGAAACUGGCAAGCUAGAGUCUUGUAGAGGGGGGUAGAAUUCCAGGUGUAGCGGUGAAAUGCGUAGAGAUCUGGAGGAAUACCGGUGGCGAAGGCGGCCCCCUGGACAAAGACUGACGCUCAGGUGCGAAAGCGUGGGGAGCAAACAGGAUUAGAUACCCGUGUAGUCCCUGUCUCUUAUAC